rnacentral:rRNA from 1 species
CCUACGGGAGGCAGCAGUGAGGAAUAUUGGUCAAUGGCCGAGAGGCUGAACCAGCCAAGUCGCGUGAGGGAAGACUGCCCUACGGGUUGUAAACUUCUUUUGUCGGGGAGUAAAACGAGUCACGUGUGACUCUUUGAGUGUACCCGAUGAAAAAGCAUCGGCUAACUCCGUGCCAGCAGCCGCGGUAAUACGGAGGAUCCGAGCGUUAUCCGGAUUUAUUGGGUUUAAAGGGUGCGGAGGCGGAGGUGCAAGUCAGCGGUAAAAUUGCGGGGCUCAACCUCGUACUGCCGUUGAAACUGCAUGCCUUGAGUGCGCGAGAGGUAUGCGGAAUGCGUGGUGUAGCGGUGAAAUGCUUAGAUAUCACGCAGAACUCCGAUUGCGAAGGCAGCAUACUGGAGCGCAACUGACGCUGAUGCACGAAAGCGUGGGUAUCGAACAGGAUUAGAUACCCUAGUAGUC